CCUACGGGACGCAGCAGUGAGGAAUAUUGGUCAAUGGACGAGAGUCUGAACCAGCCAAGUAGCGUGAAGGAUGACUGCCCUAUGGGUUGUAAACUUCUUUUAUAUGGGAAUAAAACGUUCCACGUGUGGGAUUUUGUAUGUACCAUAUGAAUAAGGAUCGGCUAACUCCGUGCCAGCAGCCGCGGUAAUACGGAGGAUCCGAGCGUUAUCCGGAUUUAUUGGGUUUAAAGGGAGCGUAGGUGGAUUGUUAAGUCAGUUGUGAAAGUUUGCGGCUCAACCGUAAAAUUGCAGUUGAAACUGGCAGUCUUGAGUACAGUAGAGGUGGGCGGAAUUCGUGGUGUAGCGGUGAAAUGCUUAGAUAUCACGAAGAACUCCGAUUGCGAAGGCAGUUCACUGGACUGCAACUGACACUGAGGCUCGAAAGUGUGGGUAUCAAACAGGAUUAGAUACCCCAGUAGUC
rnacentral:rRNA from 1 species